UACGUAGGGGGCAAGCGUUGUCCGGAUUUAUUGGGCGUAAAGAGCGUGUAGGCGGCCAAGCAGGUCAGCUGUGAAAACUCGAGGCUCAACCUCGAGACGUCGGUUGAAACCGCUUGGCUAGAGUCCGGAAGAGGAGAGUGGAAUUCCCGGUGUAGCGGUGAAAUGCGCAGAUAUCGGGAAGAACACCCGUGGCGAAGGCGGCUCUCUGGGACGGUACUGGACGCUGAGACGCGAAAGCGUGGGGAGCGAACAGG
rnacentral:rRNA from 1 species